GGUUAAGCGACUAAGCGUACACGGUGGAUGCCCUGGCAGUCAGAGGCGAUGAAGGACGUGCUAAUCUGCGAUAAGCGUCGGUAAGGUGAUAUGAACCGUUAUAACCGGCGAUUUCCGAAUGGGGAAACCCAGUGUGUUUCGUCACACUAUCAUUAACUGAAUCCAUAGGUUAAUGAGGCGAACCGGGGGAACUGAAACAUCUAAGUACCCCGAGGAAAAGAAAUCAACCGAGAUUCCCCCAGUAGCGGCGAGCGAACGGGGAGCAGCCCAGAGCCUGAAUCAGUGUGUGUGUUAGUGGAAGCGUCUGGAAAGGCGCGCGAUACAGGGUGACAGCCCCGUACACAAAAAUGCACAUGCUGUGAGCUCGAUGAGUAGGGCGGGACACGUGGUAUCCUGUCUGAAUAUGGGGGGACCAUCCUCCAAGGCUAAAUACUCCUGACUGACCGAUAGUGAACCAGUACCGUGAGGGAAAGGCGAAAAGAACCCCGGCGAGGGGAGUGAAAAAGAACCUGAAACCGUGUACGUACAAGCAGUGGGAGCACGCUUAGGCGUGUGACUGCGUACCUUUUGUAUAAUGGGUCAGCGACUUAUAUUCUGUAGCAAGGUUAACCGAAUAGGGGAGCCGAAGGGAAACCGAGUCUUAACUGGGCGUUAAGUUGCAGGGUAUAGACCCGAAACCCGGUGAUCUAGCCAUGGGCAGGUUGAAGGUUGGGUAACACUAACUGGAGGACCGAACCGACUAAUGUUGAAAAAUUAGCGGAUGACUUGUGGCUGGGGGUGAAAGGCCAAUCAAACCGGGAGAUAGCUGGUUCUCCCCGAAAGCUAUUUAGGUAGCGCCUCGUGAAUUCAUCUCCGGGGGUAGAGCACUGUUUCGGCAAGGGGGUCAUCCCGACUUACCAACCCGAUGCAAACUGCGAAUACCGGAGAAUGUUAUCACGGGAGACACACGGCGGGUGCUAACGUCCGUCGUGAAGAGGGAAACAACCCAGACCGCCAGCUAAGGUCCCAAAGUCAUGGUUAAGUGGGAAACGAUGUGGGAAGGCCCAGACAGCCAGGAUGUUGGCUUAGAAGCAGCCAUCAUUUAAAGAAAGCGUAAUAGCUCACUGGUCGAGUCGGCCUGCGCGGAAGAUGUAACGGGGCUAAACCAUGCACCGAAGCUGCGGCAGCGACGCUUAUGCGUUGUUGGGUAGGGGAGCGUUCUGUAAGCCUGUGAAGGUGUACUGUGAGGUAUGCUGGAGGUAUCAGAAGUGCGAAUGCUGACAUAAGUAACGAUAAAGCGGGUGAAAAGCCCGCUCGCCGGAAGACCAAGGGUUCCUGUCCAACGUUAAUCGGGGCAGGGUGAGUCGACCCCUAAGGCGAGGCCGAAAGGCGUAGUCGAUGGGAAACAGGUUAAUAUUCCUGUACUUGGUGUUACUGCGAAGGGGGGACGGAGAAGGCUAUGUUGGCCGGGCGACGGUUGUCCCGGUUUAAGCGUGUAGGCUGGUUUUCCAGGCAAAUCCGGAAAAUCAAGGCUGAGGCGUGAUGACGAGGCACUACGGUGCUGAAGCAACAAAUGCCCUGCUUCCAGGAAAAGCCUCUAAGCAUCAGGUAACAUCAAAUCGUACCCCAAACCGACACAGGUGGUCAGGUAGAGAAUACCAAGGCGCUUGAGAGAACUCGGGUGAAGGAACUAGGCAAAAUGGUGCCGUAACUUCGGGAGAAGGCACGCUGAUAUGUAGGUGAAGUCCCUCGCGGAUGGAGCUGAAAUCAGUCGAAGAUACCAGCUGGCUGCAACUGUUUAUUAAAAACACAGCACUGUGCAAACACGAAAGUGGACGUAUACGGUGUGACGCCUGCCCGGUGC
rnacentral:rRNA from 1 species